CAAUUAAGAACGUCAAAAAAAAAAAUGGAAACUAUCCAGUCCGACCAUCUUUUAUAUUUAAAUAAUCGUAUUUAAUGUGAUAUUGAACUCUCGUAAAUAAGAACGAAAGUCGUUUAGACCGGAAGUUUACUAUCGCAGCUGAUGACAGCGAUAUGACAGCUGCUGAGGAUGAAGUCUGAAAGUGAAAGAAUAUGUGCUUUCCGUUGUUAUUGCUCACUUAUCUACAUGUUGAAUAGAACAAACGAUAAUCAGAGUUUAUCAUCACUUGAAGGGAAUAGGUCAUUUCGGACGAUGGAAGAAUGAUGACCGUUACCCAUCACACUGACUGCGACACUUCUCUACUCUACUGAACAGCUGAUCAUGAAGGUCUCGACGUUGAACGUUUCAUUCGAAGCAUUACGGCAAUUCAGUCUUGACUGUUGACAGAGAUUUUGUUCAGAAACAAAUGGCAGUGUAAACAGCUUGAAGUGAUCGUCUGAAAACUGCAACUGAAAACAAAUGUUUUGAGUCAUCGUCAAUGACCCCAAGGACCCAUACCGAACCGACACGAGUAGACGAGUUUCAACAAUGAGACUCAGAGGUACUUACAGUCAUUUUCUCUACAUGGAUGGAAAGAUCAUCAGGGGCUUUAUUCAGGCACGUAGCUACCAUGAAUGUUCUAGGUCAUGGAUAUUAAGCAGAAAACCUUAUGUAAGAAGACACCAGGAUAGAAACAAAACUCUGGACAAUUAAAUGUGAUUUUUUUUUUAAAUACAUAGGUCCUGUAAAUGUGUUAUUAAUUUGAUACAUACAAUUCAUACUACAAUGUACAUACUCCAAAGACCAAUAUUCCUAUCUUUGCUUCUUAUUCUCUAUAUUUCAAAAAUGUGAUUUGAUUAAAAUCAAUGCAA